rnacentral:misc_RNA from 1 species
UACGAACUGUGCGAACGUUAUUCGGAAUCACUGGGCUUAAAGGGUGCGUAGGCGGUUACUUAAGUAGGGUGUGAAAGGCCCCGGCUCAACCGGGGCACGGCGCUCUAAACUGGGUGGCUUGAGUGAGAUAGAGGUGUGCGGAACUUCCGGUGGAGCGGUGAAAUGUGUUGAUAUCGGAGGGAACACCAUUGGCGAAAGCGGCACACUGGGUCUCAACUGACGCUGAGGCACGAAAGCCAGGGGAGCAAACGGG